AGAUAUUCAAUCCUCUUCUUCAUUCGAGCGUUAAGAUAAAUCUCACAAACUCUUCAAAAAACGUCUCUUCUAUCUCCUUUUUGCUCGAUCCGAGCCGUAACUUGUUGCUCACUCAUCCUCGUGAUGCUCAUUGGCUUCUCUUUAAGAAGGUUCAGCAGCUCUCAAAUAAUCUUUGUCAUCUGAAUCCUUGGGCAACGGAGCCUUAGUCGUGUAGUCCUCCAUUAAAUUAUCAUCUUUCUCUUAUCACAUGUUCUUGGACCAUAUUCGGACAACCAUAUUGUCAUCCCCUUUAUCAAGAAACCCAUUUCCUUAUGACAAACUCUCUAUUUAGCAACUGAAUGUGAAUCAACACUUCUUUUCUAGGAUGCAAAUGCAAUGCAAUCAUAAUAAAAAUAACAUAAAAAACAAGUUAGUACAAAGUAAAAGCAAAUGAAUAAAGUACCUACUCGGGAAACCACUAGGGUUUGGUGUAAUUACUCCUAAGGUGGGUAACUAGGGUUCACUAUAUGUAGUUUGGCUCUAAGGUAAGGGUACCUGAACUAGCAGAUUCCUCGAUCCUCACCCAUUAUAGGCUCAUACGGACCAAGUUUAGUUCAGGGGAAUACAUUUUCCUAUGGCUACACGGAGAUGAAAAUCUCACGAAGACAUAGGUACGGAUGUAUCCCGAAAGCAAUCCGCUAUCCUGCACGGAGGUGAAGACCUCACGAAGGAAAUAGCUUUUCACUUCCACUUAAAAGGGUACAAUCAUUCAACUCAUGUAAUGAAUAAUGCAAAGAUCAAUUAAGCAAGAAAAUGAAUGAAUGCACAAUGAUCUCAUGAUUUUUUUAAAAAAAAAUUAUUUUCUCAACAAUAAGACAGAAAUUAAUCAACUUUGUGGAUCAACUCUCGUAUGUGUCCCCAGCGGAGUCGCCAAGCUGUCGAAACCAUUUUUUUGAAAAAUAAAAGUUUUAGGUUGUCGACUUUUAAAAAAUGAAAAUUGGGAGUCGCCACCAAUCUUUUAUUGAGGUGUGAUUGGAUCACCUAAAAAACGGCUUUGGUCUACGAGUUUUAGAAAAACGGAUCCGUGAGUCGGUUACGUACGAGGAAGAAUUAGCACCCUCGUAACGCCGAAAAUUGGUACCUAGUUAAUUAAUUAAUGUCUUAAUGUCGAAAAUUUGAAAAAUAUAAUCCUUAGCAAAAACUGAAAAACAUUACGUAUUAAGACCCUUAUCAUUUCAGAGAAAGAAAAUGCCAUACCCAAUGCGUUAGGGCACGGCAUUCUAAUUUCCUUAAAAAUGAAUUAGGCCAAAAUACUCGUACAAUAAAAAUUUAAAAGAAUAUCCAUUUAUUCAAGAUUUAAGAAAUCGCGGCCCAAUACGUUAGGGCACAAUUCCUCUAAAAUCCUAAACUCGGAAUAUUUCCUUUAUUAUUAUUUUUUAGAAAAAAUCUUCAUUUCGAGAAAUCAAUGCGUCACAUCCAAUACGUUAGGACACAACGUGUCAAAUUUCUAAUAAUGAGUUCUUAUUUUUUGAUUAAAGAGAAAUGCUCGAUUGUUAGAUUUAACAAAGAAAAUCGGAACCCAAUACGUUAGGGCUCAAUUUCCUUGAAAAUCCUAAAUACGAACAUUAUCUCAAUUUUGAAAAUUUUCUAUUUUUAAAUUCGAGUAAAAGAUGAUGUAACGUUAUUUUAUAUGUGUAAAUGUCGUAAUAACAAUGAUAACAAAUACAAUAAUGACAUAAAAAUAAUAUAAACAAAUAAAUAAAAAAAUAAAAGAUAUGAAAAUAUAAAUCAGCAAACAAAUAAAAAAAUAAAAAAAUAAAUGAAGAAAGGAAAGUGCAUAACAUAUACAUUGGAAUUAUAAGAAAUAAAAUACACGAUUUACAUAUAAAAUUUGAAUUAUAAAAUUUAUAUAAGUAUACAAUGCAUUUAUGAAAAUAAAGAAAAAUGUAUAAAUAUACAUAUAUAAAGUUUAAAAUAUAUGUGUGAAAAAAAUAUAAAUAUGUAUUUAAGCAUUUUCAAAAAUAUAAAAAAUAUGUACGUAUAUGUAUGAAAAUAUAAUAGAAUAUUCAAAAAAAAUAUGUAUACAUGUAAAACAUAUUAAAGAUAAUUUAUUAAUAUCUACAUUAAGAAAAAAAAUAUGAAUAUAUAUAUAUAUAUGAAAAAAAUAGUUGAAAGAAAAUAAAGAUGUUCAUAAGAAAAUAAUAAAUAUACAUAUAUAAUUAAAAAGAAUUACAUAAAAAAAUAAUUACAUCCUAAAAAUUAACUAAUUUUAAGAAAGAUAUAAAAAGAACUAAAUUGAAUUGCAAAUAAAAAAUUUGGGGCAAAUCCGCAAAUAAAUAAAGCCAAAAGGACCACAUUUAAACACACAAAUAAUGUAGAGGGGCUGGAAGGGCAAUUUUCCCUUCUCCCUUUUUUAAAAUCGUAGAUAAGUAAAAAAUAAUCGAAAAAAAAAGAAAACAGUAAGCCACCUUUAAAAAAAAAACUACCAAUCGUUCUCCUUUUUUUUAUUGAUUCUCCCCCUUUUUGAUGAAUGGAGAGGCCUCUAUAUAUAGCUGAGCCUCCCCAAAUCCAACGGUACAAAUCAAUUACAUCAACGGCUAAGAUUAAUGGUUAUCUACAAAUUAAAUCUUUAAGAUUACAAAAUCAUAUCUUCUAAGAUUGUAUAUAUCAUAUCUAAGAUUACAUAUAUCAUAUCUAAGAUUGCAUAUAUCAUAUCUAAGAUUGCAUAUCAUAUCUAAGAUUGUAUAUCCUCGAAAAUUAUGUUUCCAUAUGUGAGCCCGGGCUAAAAUUGGGUAUUACAUUUAUAUAUAUAUAUAUAUAUAUAUAUAUAUAUAUAUAUAUAUAUAUAUAUAUAUUCAUGCAUUUUUCUAAGCCCAUAGUUGGCCACCUAUUUACCCACAUUAAUUAAGUAGCGUAAUUGCUACUUUAGCCCUUUUAAUUUAUUUCAAUCAAUAAUUCAACUUUUAAUCCUUACGCGAUUUAGUCCCUGUACCUUAAUAACUCCUAAUUUCAUGAAAUUUACUAAAUCAAUAAUUAAUUAGCUACCCAACUAACUUCAUAAAUAUUUAAUUAAAUAUUUACGAGUCCGGUUUACGAAAACAAAAUCCUAGAAAUACGUUUUCUGACACCCCGACUAUCGAGUCGUUUACACUGGGCGACGAUUAGGAAUUUUAAUUAUGGGCAUUUAAGUCCAUAUAAUGAAAUGUAAUCAAAUUUUUGGGCUGUUAAUCAAUCCUAAUUAGGUCAAAACAUGAACUCUAUAAAUAGGCAUGUUUAGCCUCAUUUUAGGAGGCUUGGCUAAGUGAGACACUUAGUUAGCUUUAGGUUUUUAUUUUCUUUCAAUUUAGUCCUUUAAAUAGUUUUUGUUCUUGUUUAACUUGGAUUCUAUUUUAAUCCAAGCUUUCAAUUUAAUAGUUUUUAGUUAUUUCUUUUUGGUUUCCAAUCGCAAUCGAAAUUAUCUUCGCAAUUGUUAAAGGAAAUCCCACUUUUGUGCACAAAUCGACAUCGAGACAGAUUUAUUUUCUUAUUCCAUUCUUAUAUUUAAUUUACUAUUUUGUAUGUUAAAUAUGAGUUUAAGGAAUAUUGCAUCUAGGUCCAUUAGUGACUAGUUUCCUUAGGGAGAUUAAUGAACGGAUGUGUGACUAUUAACGAAUAAAUUAAUGUUUAGUUUCGAGUUAGUUGGUUUAAAUUAUGUGCGAUUAAACCCUAGGAAGUGAAAACUAGGGGUGUGCAUUCGGUUAACCGACCCGAAUUAGUUAAAAUCGAAUUAACCGACCUCCAAAAUUUUUUAACCGUUAAUCGAACCGGAAUUUUUUAAAAAAAUAUUAACCGAACCGAAUUUUUUUCGGUUAAAUCGGUCGGUUAACCGAAUUAACCAAAAAUCAUAUGAUUUUUUUGGUUAAAAAUUAACCGAUUUAACCUAUUUAACCGAUUAACCGAUUUAACCUAUUUAACCGAUUAACUGACUUAACCGAUUUAACCGAUUUAACCGAUUUAAAUCACUAUAUAAUUAAAAACAUGAAACAUGAAACAUGAAACAUGAAUUGUUCUCCCAAACGAGUGGGGGUGUGUGUGUGUGUGUGUAUAUAUAUAUUUUAAUUAUUGUAUUUACUCUUUUCAUAACCUUAAAAUUAUAAUCGAUUUAAACAUCGAAAAAUAUCAAUAUCAAUUUUAAUGCUCCCGUAGCUCAUCUUUCUCUCUUUAUUUUUUCUUUUCAUUACCUAACAAUUCGACUCAAAUUCAUAUCUAUGUAUGAACAAUAUCAAGAAAUACAUCAAAUAUAAAACCAAUUUACUCUAUUUAAGCUUAAUGGUAUAUUUCACCAACUAUCUUGAUUAGCAACCUUGAGCAAUCACCGACAAUUCGAUAGAGCCAGCCUGGUGGCACUUCCAUUGGUGUUUGCUUACGAUGGAAUCAUAAAAGGAUAAUAAUUUCUAAUAUUGCGAUGAAAUAUUUUUCAUUGAAAAUAAAACGAACCCUUCGAUAUUAGCAAACCUUACAUUGAAAUUAAAUUUGAUUUUGACUGUUAGGAAACUUCCAAUGACUAAAGCAUGGAUGACUCGAAACUUAAAAUACAGUUUUUAAUAUGGUGCAAGAUUUUUCAGUAAUCUCAACAAAGAUUACAUUAAUUAAGUAAUACGGUUUACGAAAGUCGAUAGUAUUUUAGUAUAAUUUAACCCAAAACAUUAAAAUAUAAAAUCCAAACACUUAAAACAAGAAGAAAGCAAUGAAUGUGCAUAUGCAAUGGUGUCUGCAGCAAUUAUAAAAUGCCCACAUUGUACUUUGUUACAGAAACCAGUUUGACAAUCUGUUUAUGCUUGGUUUUUUUUAAUGUAUCUUUGUGCAGAUCCUAUCACAAUCAUGAGAUUUCCAUUUCCUAAUUUAUUUAAUUAAGCCAUUUUUAAUUAAAUACAUCAGACUUCAGAGUUUGAUGCGUGGUGUUGAAUGAACAAAAACAGAGCAGAACUCUGACCCUUUACAAAAUGAACAAAAUAGCAAGCAGGUCAGGUAUUAGACAUAGUUGGGCCAAGUUGAAGGCGACAUAGCAACCAGUACCAGCUAACCUAAGGCUCACGUACUUUAACUUAGCUCUUUGUGGGUGUUAAUUUUCCAAAGCCACUUCAAAGUUCAAUCAGUGCGAGAAAUGAAAACAAAACCCUAAAAUUAAAAAAAAACAAAGGGAAAUUAGAAGAAACCAAACCUGGCCUUUGGGUAUUAGUCAAUUAGUGUGCUGGAAGAGAAAUGGAUAGCAAAAAUGGUGGAUUUUCCCGAAUGAAAAUCUGAGAUUCAGAUUGAAAAAUGAGAAGUUGAGAACCCGAUGGCAGAUUUGUGAGUUGUGACUUUGUGCUUGGUUGCUUGCUGUCUGUUGAGUGAGUGCUAUUGAGAAAA
rnacentral:lncRNA from 1 species